rnacentral:rRNA from 1 species
UACGUAGGAUGCAAGCGUUGUCCGGAAUUACUGGGCGUAAAGCGUGCGUAGACGGUUGCGUAAGUCAGAUGUGAAAGCCCCGGGCUCAACCUGGGAAUUGCAUUUGAGACUGCGUAGCUAGGGUGCGGAAGAGGGAAGCGGAAUUUCCGGUGUAGCGGUGAAAUGCGUAGAUAUCGGAAGGAACACCAGUGGCGAAAGCGGCUUCCUGGUCCAGCACCGACGUUCAGGCACGAAAGCGUGGGGAGCAAACAGG